rnacentral:rRNA from 1 species
UACGUAGGGUGCGAGCGUUGUCCGGAAUUACUGGGCGUAAAGAGCUCGUAGGUGGUUUGUCGCGUUGUUCGUGAAAACUCACAGCUUAACUGUGGGCGUGCGGGCGAUACGGGCAGACUGGAGUACUGCAGGGGAGACUGGAAUUCCUGGUGUAGCGGUGGAAUGCGCAGAUAUCAGGAGGAACACCGGUGGCGAAGGCGGGUCUCUGGGCAGUAACUGACGCUGAGGAGCGAAAGCGUGGGGAGCGAACAGGAUUAGAAACCCCCGUAGUCC